UGGGGAAUUUUUUGCAAUGGGCGAAAGCCGGACGGAGCAAUGCCGCAUGGAGGUGGAAGGCCUACGGGUCGUCAACUUCUUUUCUUGGAGAAGAAACAAUGACGGUAUCUGAGGAAUAAGCAUCGGCUAACUCUGUGCCA
rnacentral:rRNA from 1 species